CAAACUGCCCUUGGGUCCGGCAUAACCCCGGGAAACUGGGGAUAAUUCCGGAUAACGCACAUAUGCUGGAAUGCUUUAUGCGUAAAAUGGAUUCGUCUGCCCAAGGAUGGAUCUGCGGCCUAUCAGGUAGUAGUGGGUGUAAUGUACCUACUAGCCAACAACGGGUACGGGUUGUGAGAGCAAGAGCCCGGAGAUGGAUUCUGAGACAUGAAUCCAGGCCCUACGGGGCGCAGCAGGCGCGAAAACUUUACAAUGCGGGAAACCGUGAUGAGGGGACACCGAGUGCCAGCAUCAUAUGCUGGCUGUCCGGGUGUGUAAAAUACACCCGUUAGCAAGGGCCGGGCAAGACCGGUGCCAGCCGCCGCGGUAACACCGGCGGCCCGAGUGGUGAUCGUGAUUAUUGGGUCUAAAGGGUCCGUAGCCGGUUUGGUCAGUCCUCCGGGAAAUCUGACGGCUCAACCGUUAGGCUUUCGGGGGAUACUGCCAGGCUUGGAACCGGGAGAGGUAAGAGGUACUACAGGGGUAGGAGUGAAAUCUUGUAAUCCCUGUGAGACCACCUGUGGCGAAGGCGUCUUACCAGAACGGGUUCGACGGUGAGGGACGAAAGCUGGGGGCACGAACCGGAUUAGAUACCCGGGUAGUCCCAGCCGUAAACGAUGCUCGCUAGGUGUCAGGCAUGGCGCGACCGUGUCUGGUGCCGCAGGGAAGCCGUGAAGCGAGCCAC
rnacentral:rRNA from 1 species